AACGAACGCUGGCGGCAGGCCUAACACAUGCAAGUCGAGCGAAGCCUUCGGGCUUAGCGGCGGACGGGUGAGUAACGCGUGGGAACGUGCCCUUUGCUACGGAAUAGCCCCGGGAAACUGGGAGUAAUACCGUAUGUGCCCUCCGGGGGAAAGAUUUAUCGGCAAAGGAUCGGCCCGCGUUGGAUUAGGUAGUUGGUGGGGUAAUGGCCUACCAAGCCGACGAUCCAUAGCUGGUUUGAGAGGAUGAUCAGCCACACUGGGACUGAGACACGGCCCAGACUCCUACGGGAGGCAGCAGUGGGGAAUCUUAGACAAUGGGGGAAACCCUGAUCUAGCCAUGCCGCGUGAUCGAUGAAGGCCUUAGGGUUGUGAAGAUCUUUCAGUGGGGAAGAUAAUGACUGUACCCACAGAAGAAGCCCCGGCUAACUCCGUGCCAGCCGCCGCGGUAAAAC
rnacentral:rRNA from 1 species